UUUCCGUAGGUGAACCUGCGGAAGGAUCAUUCAUAAUAAGUGUUUUAUGGCACUUUUUAAAUCCAUAUCCACCUUGUGUGCAAUGGCAGGGUUGAUUUUUCUCUCGAGAGGAUCAACCCCAAACAUCAACUAUAUCUCAACUCUUUGUCUGAAAAAUAUUAUGAAUAAAACAAUUCAAAAUACAACUUUCAACAACGGAUCUCUUGGCUCUC
rnacentral:misc_RNA from 1 species